CGACUGAGUAUUCUAGCCACUGACUAGAAGGUUAAACUCCAUCACCACAUUGCCUUGUGGUCUAGUGACCUACAUCACCACUGACUGGUGUGGUGUCUCUGUGGACCCGUGGGUGAAGUCCUAGAGAAGCAUGCACCAGCCUGAGAAGUGCACCUAUCUGUUCAAUAGACCUGAGAGUCAUUUUUCUGACACUGGGCAACACUGGGCAGGGAAGAGAGUCAGAUUCCCAUCACGCUCCGGGACAUGUUCCAUGAAGCCCCCUCAUCUGUCAUGUUCUCAGAGGUCAGUGAAACAGAAGAAUCAGAAAUGCUGAUUGGUCAGAGUGAUGGACUCAGAAAUGACUGGUCAAGGUUGUCACUGCAGUCCUGACAGAACUUCUGUAGACCAUUCCUUGAAGGUGCUGCUGGCCGAAGGAUCACCCUGCUCCCAGCAGCCUUGCUCUGGGGCUGGUCACUCGUUCCUUUCCAGUCAGACUGCUGCUCCACACUAGGUAGACUGAGCCAAACAUGAAUGUUGUUGGGAUUUACAAAUAAACUUGAACCUUUCAAAUUUUUGCCAGCUCCGGGAU
rnacentral:lncRNA from 1 species